UCGACACACCAUAGCACUGCCCACGAAACACAGAACCUCUUAAAAACUUCUUGAAACGGCUACAAACGGCUAUAGACGUCUUGGUCUAUGAUAAGACUGAAAAUAGAAUUUCUUCUAAACAUAACCUCAGCACUUGGAAUAUGCUAGUAUAUAUUCUAUCUGCGGCAAAACCCACUACUGGUGUCACUAGAGUCUGUUUUGGUAAACACAUUCAGAAUGUCUAACUCAAGAACUUUUCUAGAUCUUUUUGUCUAAAAGUGCAUAAAAUGCCAAACGACGAGUUAAAAGUGCGGUUACCGUCGGCCGUCGGCGUUAGCGAAUAAAACACGCCACAGACAAAUCGAACUCGUUGGAAGCAACAUAAGUUAAUUGACUUUGAUAUUAAAUAAUUUGACACCAGAACUUCAACAAUCAAGGGCGUGUUAUUGUUUUCCAUACGGGGCGCGCACACGACGCCUGGAAGCCAUUCUAUGCUCGCGCAGCAGGUAUACUGACAGCAGCAGGAGCGAAACGCCGGCGUUGCAGAGCGGUGUCACAGAGCCACCGCGCUGCGAUCACUUCGGCGACACAAUCCAAAUUUGUCGGACAUCUCAUUCUGUGCUGGAAACACUGGGAGGCAGGAAGUUUGAAAAAACGGCCACUGCCGCCCACAAUGUCUCCGUCGUGGGCUGGUCGUGGGUUCGUUAUGCCAGUUGUGCCGGUUGUGCGUCAUUCUAAGCCGUUCUGUACAUUUAUACUGGAUAUUAAUUGGAGUCAUUUAGCUGUGCUGAUGCUGUUUGCCGUGUGUUUUGCAUCAGUGCUUCGUGACAUCGGCUGUAUUGUGUGUUUUCGCCGACGGCUUACUACCACAAUGGCGGGAUCUGCGUUCGCCGCCUUCGUGUCUCGGUGCGUCUUUGUACGUCGCACGUUCGGAUAACACUAUUUCCGACGGCUGGACAUCCUUCUUGUACCUUGGCGCUAGCUGGAUGACGGGACCUCAUCAUGAUCAGUGUAAGCCAAUGUACUGUACCCUCUCUGGUCCUCCCAGUGCUUUUUAUAUGGGUUAAGGCCAGGGAGUGCUUCGUGGUAAAAUAGCUAGUUGGUGUCUCACAAACGGGCAUUUUUUUGCACUGGUCCAUUAUAAGCUGCCACUAUUAUAACCAAUUUCUCAGUGCCAGUGUACAUACACAGUUCUACUAAUAAUUAGUUUCCCUAAGCCUUACAAAAUGUACCUGUAGGUAGUCAAUGCUAUGUAAGAACUCAAAAAUUAACUCUGCUGUGUCAUACAAGUAUACCAUACAUGAGUAAAAAUUUGCUACAACAGUGUACAUUACACCUUGCUUCCCUAAUGCACAAAUGUAUUCAAGCCAGUAUUUGAUUAGUUUGGUAUUCUAAAUGUUUUCUGUGUGAUUUAGUUUCUUUACAGGAAUUUACCGUACAGCAUCAGCAAGCAGUCUAAUUUAAGAUUUAUGUGUGCUGUAAAAGGUGCGCUUUGCCGCUAGAAUUGAUAAAACAUGGGCCGAGGCUUCCAUACAAGGACAAACUUCAAUUUCGCUCUACCACCAUCAGCACUUGGCUGGCACUUGCAAAAUGAAUCAUCAGGUAGCUUGUGCCAGACUGUUUUUUAACCUUAUUGUGAGGAGAUCACAAAGUGAUGUGUGGAGGCGCCUGCGUCUGAGAUGUAGAUUGCGCUGCAACAUAUGUGCGUGUAGAACAGGCAUGAUGCUCAGGGUUCCAGCAGUUCGCAGAGGUGCUUUUAAAAUUUUGUCAUAACUGCAAUUUUACCUGUGCUGUUUUUUAUCACCUAUUUCAAUAAUAUCAUUGGAGGUGUUAUCAGAAUUUAGCAAUCUAUUUGCCCUAGCCCAUUAGCCUGCCACAUUUGCCUUUUCACUAGGUGGGAAAUUAUUCAGCAUGGACCAUUACUUGAAUACACCUUUCUGUGUGCAGUGGCUUCUCAAUUGCGAGUCAACAUAAAUUCUCAGAAUUACCUGAGGCUAUAGAUGCACUGAUGAAUUUGCUACCUAUGUGAAUCACUUUGCACUUUCUUGCACAAACAGCAUGUUAACACUUCCAAGACAGUGGGCAAUGUUAUCGUUUGAUCACAUCAUGAGAUACUUUCAAUUUUGUGACGCAUCAUCCAAGGUGUUGCAUCAUUUGUGUGAGGUAUUGCCCUAAACCAAUUAGGGUCACAUGAAAAUAUAUCAACAAAAGUGAUUGAUCCAGCUAGGAGUGUUGCUUUGGAACACUACUUUAUCACCAGUCCUCCUUUGCAUGCUACCUGCUUACUCUGUACUGUGUCAUGUUUAAGUUUGAAAAGAAGGCAACAGCUAGGCAGUGCAAAAUGUCAAACUUGCUUUUAGUUUAACAUUACAAAAUGCUAUUUAACUUUUUAAUUAAGUUAGUACAUCAUUUACCUGCAGAGUGAAUUACUGUUUUAAGCUGAUUAUAUUUUGCAGGAAGCUUCUCAGACUUGUUUGACAGGUUGAUAAGUGGCUUUUUAGCCACAUAACACUAUAUAAUAAUUUAAAGGCUGACUCUGCUAUGCAACUAAUGACUAUAUGGCAGGAACAAGGUCUCCAAGUUGUGGCGCUGGCUAACACUCCCAGGGUUCUACUAGAACACAUAAAUACCCAAGAAAGUGGAUGGGAAAACGACGCCGCUGUAGCUCAAUUGGUAGAGCAUAGCACGCGAAAUGCGAAGGUUUUGGGUUCGGUUACCACCUGCUGCAAUGUGUUCUUUCAUCCACUUUAAUUUCCAUUAAUUUAUCGUUUAUUUCAUUUAUUAAGCACAAGUAAUUUCCCCUAUGUUGUCCUUGGUGUCAGUGUUUGUUGGCUUCUUAUGAUAGGAAAUGUACUAGUCAUUUUAACAUCAUCGCAUACAUACCUUAAGAUACCCAUAAUUUAAGAGAAAGGAGUGCUUAAAUUUAUUUUUAAUGUGAGAAAACUUCUUACUUAGCACAUAUUACAUAUUGAAGUGCCAAUUUCAAUAUUCCCAUUUCCUCCCUCGCCUUCUUUUUCCUGUUCUGUGCAGGUAUUGCUUGCCUAUGUCUACAAGAACCAUCACGCGUGGCCUGCAACAGCAAGCUUUUGUGGGCAGCAAGUGCUCUCCUACGAAGGCUGGCCUACUCUGGCAGCGGCAGCAAUCAUCUUCAAGAUUUAUCCAUAAUCACCUUUGCUGCUAUUUGUCACUCUUGUUGAUUACACUUUCUGCGUCUUUUCUAAUUUAUUAGGUAAUAAAGUAUGACUAUGUGACAUGG